CAGAGAGUAGCUUGCUACUUUGCUGACGAGCGGCGGACGGGUGAGUAAUGCUUGGGAAUAUGCCUUUUGGUGGGGGACAACAGUUGGAAACGACUGCUAAUACCGCAUAAUGUCUACGGACCAAAGUGGGGGACCUUCGGGCCUCACGCCAAAAGAUUAGCCCAAGUGGGAUUAGCUAGUUGGUAAGGUAAUGGCUUACCAAGGCAACGAUCCCUAGACGUCAAGUCAUCAUGGCCCUUACGUGUAGGGCUACACACGUGCUACAAUGGCGCAUACAGAGUGCUGCGAACUCGCGAGAGUAAGCGAAUCACUUAAAGUGCGUCGUAGUCCGGAUUGGAGUCUGCAACUCGACUCCAUGAAGUCGGAAUCGCUAGUAAUCGCGUAUCAGAAUGACGCGGUGAAUACGUUCCCGGGCCUUGUACACACCGCCCGUCACACCAUGGGAGUGGGUUGCUCCAGAAGUAG
rnacentral:rRNA from 1 species